AGAGUUUGAUCCUGGCUCAGGACGAACGCUGGCGGCGUGCUUAACACAUGCAAGUCGAACGGUAAGGCCCUUCGGGGUACACGAGUGGCGAACGGGUGAGUAACACGUGGGUAAUCUGCCCUGCACAUCGGGAUAAGCCUGGGAAACUGGGUCUAAUACCGAAUAGGACCACAGGACACAUGUCCUGUGGUGGAAAGCUUUUGCGGUGUGGGAUGGGCCCGCGGCCUAUCAGCUUGUUGGUGGGGUGAUGGCCUACCAAGGCGACGACGGGUAGCCGGCCUGAGAGGGUGUCCGGCCACACUGGGACUGAGAUACGGCCCAGACUCCUACGGGAGGCAGCAGUGGGGAAUAUUGCACAAUGGGCGAAAGCCUGAUGCAGCGACGCCGCGUGGGGGAUGACGGCCUUCGGGUUGUAAACCUCUUUCACCAUCGACGAAGGUCCGGGUUUUCUCGGGCUGACGGUAGGUGGAGAAGAAGCACCGGCCAACUACGUGCCUGCAGCCGCGGUAAUACGUAGGGUGCGAGCGUUGUCCGGAAUUACUGGGCGUAAAGAGCUCGUAGGUGGUUUGUCGCGUUGUUCGUGAAAUCUCACGGCUUAACUGUGAGCGUGCGGGCGAUACGGGCAGACUUGAGUACUGCAGGGGAGACUGGAAUUCCUGGUGUAGCGGUGAAAUGCGUAGA
rnacentral:rRNA from 1 species